GGCUGUAAGGGCCAUCUGCGGUGAUACUGUCACCCAGUGACUGUCAGGGUUGAUGGGUCUGAUCUAGCUGCCUGGAAAUGGCUCCCCUUCCUGCCUCACUCCUCCUCAUAUUUCUUUCCCAACACUGGGGAGCCAUUGUGCAAGGCAGGCACAGUCAGGGGCCACUCCUCUCCUUUGUCAGUUGAAACUUUAUGGUGCAAAUUGAGCAAGCAUAGAGGCAUUCCUGUCCCUAAAAGAGCCUGCUUAGGAAUGGGCUAACCCCUAUAUGAAUAGCCACCCUGAAUGAAACCACAUUCUAUCUUUGUUCAGGGAGAGUGUUGCUUUGAAAAAUG
rnacentral:lncRNA from 1 species